rnacentral:rRNA from 1 species
AUUGAACGCUGGCGGCAGGCCUAACACAUGAAAGUCGAACGAGUGGCGGACGGGUGAGUAAUGUCUGGGAAACUGCCCGAUGGAGGGGGAUAACUACUGGAAACGGUAGCUAAUACCGCAUACCAUCGGAUGAGCCCAGAUGGGAUUAGCUAGUAGGUGGGGUAACGGCUAACCUAGGCGACGAGCCCUAGCUGGUCUGAGAGGAGGACCACCCACACUGGAACUGAGCCACGGUCCAGACUCCUACGUGAGGCAGCAGUGGGGAAUAUUGCACAAUGGGCGCAAGCCUGAUGCAUCCAUGUCGCGUGUAUGAAGAGGGCCUUCGGGUUGUAAAGUACUUUCAGCGAGGAGGCGUUACUCGCAGAAGAAGCACCGGCUAACUCCGUGCCAGCAGCCGCGGUAAUAC